rnacentral:rRNA from 1 species
CUACGGGGGGCAGCAGUGGGGAAUAUUGGACAAUGGGCGAAAGCCUGAUCCAGCCAUGCCGCGUGUGUGAAGAAGGGCUUCGGGUUGUAAAGCACUUUCAGUGGGGAAGAAAGCCUUGGGGCUAAUACCCUCGAGGAAGGACAUCACCCACAGAAGAAGCACCGGCUAACUCCGUGCCAGCAGCCGCGGUAAUACGGAGGGUGCGAGCGUUAAUCGGAAUUACUGGGCGUAAAGCGCGCGUAGGCGGUCUGAUAAGCCGGUUGUGAAAGCCCCGGGCUCAACCUGGGAACGGCAUCCGGAACUGUCAGGCUAGAGUGCAGGAGAGGAAGGUAGAAUUCCCGGUGUAGCGGUGAAAUGCGUAGAGAUCGGGAGGAAUACCAGUGGCGAAGGCGGCCUUCUGGACUGACACUGACGCUGAGGUGCGAAAGCGUGGGUAGCAAACAGGAUUAGAUACCCCUGUAGUC